UCUAAUAUUUUAGAUUUCGCGAGAUAUGGUUUAGACAAGUCCUACCCUUUCCAAGCGUUUCUGUUCUUCUUCUUCAUCCCCUGAACAGUCUUCAUCAUCUGCUUACCCUACCAAGCGAUCUAAGGUUAAGAUCGAUGCCUCCGCUAUUGAAUAUCCAUUUAUUCGAAGAUGACUGUCUGUCGGUGAUGUUAUCUCUGCUCCAGUUGUUGUAACGUCCGCCAGAUUUAGGAUCUUGAACUUGGCCGCUCUUCUCAGGAGAUUGUUGGUCUUUUUCUCCGAUUCUAGGAUUCACCUAACGUUAAGAAGAACAUAUAAUUCAUGGGUAUCACUUUGAUGAAAAGCUGCACGUCUUAAUGAAUACCAUGGAGCUUUACGAGCAGGUGCCAUUGUGGAAGUUGGUGGUUUCGAAGUUGGACGUUGCACUAAUAUGUACAAGAGAACGGAUAGCCCUUUCAUCUUCCAACCAAAUCCCAAAGUUUUUGGAGGUACUCUAUUUGAACUCCACCCCGGCGACCAAAUUUUAUCUGGACACCAACAUCCUUGCCAUCGAAGCUUUCACCAAUAGGUCAGUGUAAAGUGUUAUGCAAACAGAGCAUCACCAUAUUAUUCUACUUUUUAACCCACGCUUAGAUAACCAACUGCGUUUCAUUUGUACAUCGCUUCUGCUGUCUGUUGUCCAAUCAAUAUUAGCUAUAACUAUAUGGCAUGCUUGCUAAAAUAUAUCUUUGGACACAUCUUGGGUGUUGCACCAACCAAGGCUUUCCCACGUACAUGUUUCAAUAGCAGGCCUCCACACGUACAUAGCCACGUCAAACAACCAGGUUUCCAAAACUCUAUUUCUAUACCGCAAGAAAUGUGUAUCACCCAAGAUCGCCAGGGUUUUAAGGUAACAAAGAGUCCUACAUAAUCAUACCUAUCCAAGUUUAAUAAGACUUGGAAGUAAACGUAAACUCCUCAUGUAUCACUUUGAGUUGGCUGUUGACGAUGGCCAUGAAAAGUAAUACGUUUGUUGUCAGUCCAAGAGGACAAAAAAAAAAUGUAACCACAGUCGCUCUUGAGGAGGUUAAUGGCAGUGGAGGGUAUGAGCUUUCAAGCUGCCUUGCGGGAUCUUGAUGGGCAGCAGUACCUUUUCCAAAUUCGGAUAACGCCCUAUAAUUUCACUCCCAGACACCGGACCUUCACAGUGUCUGCAAUCAGUGAUGAUAUUUGUUCCUCAAACUCAGUCAGAGGGGGAAAGUAGUAGCAACCCUCCUCAGAUGGAUCUCCAAUCUAAGGAACCACACGCUUCUGCACGCAUUCCGGUGAUGAGACUCCAAACAUAAUGGAAGUUGAUCCCCACCAAUACCACUUAACUUUGGAGCCGAAGAGACGAGCCGCAAACGCCCACGUGUGUUAUCCUAGCAAGUUCAGCAAACGUUUGUUCCCACUUAGAUUUGCUUCCCUAUUCUACAAACUCUGGAAUAAGCUACAGCUACUACUCUUUUCCUAUGUUUUAAGUUUUUUUUUUUGAUUUUUUAGUUACCUUCAAUCAAGCUUCCAGUGGGAGUGUAGUAAUUUGGCAACAUUAAUAAAGGGGACCUUGAUGGGUA